CUCCAACCACACACUUAGAAGCAACACUUAGAUGAAGCAACCAAGCUAUAUUAGACAAGCUAAUGAGACCAAGCCUUAUAUAACUCCUAAAAUCGCCACUCACUAGGAAUGUUUAACAUACACUGACAGACAUACUGACAGACACAGAUACAUACACUGGCAGACAUACUGACACAGACACAUACAUUGACACAGACAGACACAUACGCUGAGAGGCAUACUGACAUAAAUUUACACUUUUAAACCUCCAGGUGUUUUCUUUCUGUGUAGGUGUGCUUGGAACGUUUUCAGAUCUUUACAAGGUUCACAGGGCAUUCCAUUGUGGGAGUGUCUGAGUGUAUUGUACGUGUUUAUUGGUUGUUUUCCAAAACCCUAAUGUGUAAGAAUGUGUAUAUAAG